UCUUUGACAUAGUCAUAAUAAGCAUACAGGCAGUAUAUGAAAAGCUGCUCAGCAUAUUUGAGCAGAGGCACAUUGCACAGCAUUAAAUAAAACUAACGGUCGGCUAAUGGCAUUGUAAUAAUCGUGCACAUGAAGAGCAAUAGUGAUGCUCAGUCAUGGGAAAGGCAGGAGUGCUCUGCUGUCCUCUGCUGUUGGCUGAUGCUCAGAGAAGCGCUCGCGCAGCCUGUACUGCAGUUCCUACAAGACCGAAUCAAACGGAACGAACGGUAACCACGGCGCAAAUGUGACUAUGGGGAAGCGCAGCGCUACGAAAUUGCGUAUUAGUAGGUCGGUAAUUGUAAGUCUAUAUUAAAAAAGUGAAGCUAUGAUGAUGAUACGCCAGGACUCGAGCGCGAGACCGAUGAUCGCUCUCAUCAGAUGCUGAUGAUGGUCGCGCGACCUGCGUGAUUUCCUCUCGCUGGAGCUUCCUGAUUCCUUUGCAUCACCUUAUCUAAGUCCCAGCCAACCUGACAGAAUGAUUGAAGAGGGAAGUAAAAGCAGCAAGUCCAUGGUGGAGAAGAGACAGCUCUUCAUGGAGAUGAGGGCACAAAACUUUGAUGUUAUUCGCCUCUCAACAUACAGGACGGCGUGUAAGCUGCGAUUUGUUCAGAAACGAUGCAACCUUCACCUGGUGGACGUGUGGAACAUGAUCGAAGCUUUCCGUGACAAUGGGUUGAGCACGUUAGACCACAACGCAGAGAUUAAUGUGUCACGCCUGGAGACCAUUUUGUCCUCCAUCUUCUACCAGCUCAACAAGCGGUUGCCCACCACCCACCAGAUAAACGUGGAGCAGUCCAUCGGCCUGCUGCUGAACUUUAUUGUGGCCACUUAUGACAGCGAAGGCCAUGGGAAACUCACAGUGUUUGCUAUGAAGGCAAUGCUAGCUACAAUGUGUGGCGGUAAAAUACUGGACAAAUUACGUUAUAUAUUUUCCCAAAUAUCAGACUCCAAUGGGGUGAUGGUCUAUGCCAAAUUUGACCAGUUCCUGAGGGAAGUGCUGAAGCUCCCGACGGCAGUGUUCGAGGGGCCUUCGUUUGGCUACACCGAGCACUCUGUGAGAACAUGCUUCCCUCAGCAGAAGAAGAUCUUGCUGAAUACGUUUUUGGAUGUAUUGAUGGCAGAUCCACCCCCGCAGUACCUCGUAUGGCUACCUCUCAUGCACCGACUCGCUAAUGUAGAGAAUGUCUUCCAUCCAGUGGAAUGUUCGUACUGCCGGAGUGAGAGCAUGAUGGGUUUCCGGUACCGCUGCCAGCAGUGCCAUGGCUACCAGCUUUGUCAGAGCUGCUUCUGGCGCGGUCAUGCCAGCGGUCCCCAUAGCAACCAGCACCAGAUGAAGGAGCACUCCUCAUGGAAGUCUCCAGCAAAGAAGCUCAGCCACGCCAUCAGUAAAUCUCUGGGCUGCAUGCCGAUCGGAGAGCCUCCUCAUCCCGUGUUCCCAGAGGCAGCGGAAAGACCUCAGGACCUCGCACAUACCACUCAGCUGAGGCCAGUGGCCAACAACAUGAACGAUACCGUUCUCAUUUCCUCCGGGACGCCCACGCCUUCAAAAAGUAGCACCCUUGAGAGUCCCAGCAGACUGGAUGAAGAACACCGUCUUAUCGCUCGAUAUGCUGCUCGUCUGGCGGCGGAGGCCAGCAACUCCACUCAAUGCCCUCCAACUGAUCUGAGUUUCAAUUUUGAUGCUAAUAAGCAGCAGAGGCAGCUCAUCGCAGAAUUAGAGAACAAAAACAGAGAGAUCCUGCAAGAAAUCCAGCGUCUACGUCUAGAACAUGAACAGGCUUCUCAACCCACCCCUGAGAAAGCCCAGCAGAACCCCACUCUACUGGCAGAGCUUCGACUGCUACGGCACAGAAAAGACGAGUUGGAGAGGCGCAUGUCGGCCCUGCAGGAGAGCAGGAGAGAACUGAUGGUCCAGCUGGAAGGUCUCAUGAGGCUGCUGAAGGAUGAAGAGCAGAAACAGGCAUCUCAGACGGGGAGUUCGCCCCACUCAUCACCCAGCCACAGUGCCAGUUGCACCAUGCCUAUGCCCAUCCGCUCCACCUCGGCCGGCUCAACCCCCACACACACACCGCAGGACUGCCUGGCAGGGGUCGGAGAUGACGUGCUGGAUGCCUUCUCUCAGGGUGUACCAAGAAAUCUCCGUAAUGAUCUUUUGGUGGCAGCAGACUCGAUCACAAACACUAUGUCAUCACUAGUGAAAGAACUUCACUCAGUGGAUGAUGGUCUGGAGGAUGAAGAGGAGAACAUGCGAAAUGGAAGGGAGAAGGUGUCAUCGCUGAAGCAUCCUGGGAAAAGGCAAUCCACCCCUUCAUUCUGAGCCCCAGGAAAGAACCAACGACAUCAAAAUCUCCCUGGCAUUCGCACAAAUGCAUGCUCUUCCCCAACUGGGUUUCACUAUGUGAAACAAACUCUUCAUCACAUCUUGCACAGAGCAAGUUGUAUUUAUUAGGAAGUAUAUAAAUAUAUAUAUAAAUAUAUAAAUAUAAAUAUAGCUCUAUGUCUAUCUGUAUAAACCCUUUGUUAUCACGUUACCCAUGAGAAUGGCUUGUUUGUGCUUUCUUAAAAAACCUUUAUGAAUUUGUGAUUACUACUCUCUGAAACGAACGCACUGUGCAUCUUCAUGACGUCACUCAAAUCGAUCUAAGCUGUAGCUUUUUUUCCAGAUGUUCCUCACACAGGAAGCGUUUUUGUAUAACUAGUGAUGAUUUUUGUGUUUUAUUGCAUGGAGCGGCUCUGCUGGAUAGGUGGAGAGGGCUCGUAAUUGCUCUGCAUGUGACAUUUAUGCCUGCUCCGUCGCUCCUGAUCAUCAAACUGCUGCUUCUGCAUCACACGCAUCAGAACCACCAUAUAUCAGGGACGUCUCGUAGAGCUCGCCGUUUGUCUGGGAUAUCUGCUACUGUGUUAAGUUUAGCCCGUCGUUGUGGCCGUUGUUUUCGCACUUCAGUAUUGCCUCUUUAGAGUUUAGAGUAUCGCAUUUGUGUCUCUCUGUAUUCCCGGAGAGCAUAAAGGGACUUUAAUGGAAUGCGGAUAGAUUCCGUAUAUCCGUAAACCAGCUUAGCCAGCCAUCUUUGAGUGCACACGUCUCUCUGUAAAAGUUACUUCAAAAGCUUUAUUGAGUUCAGUUGUUGUGUAUAUUUGUGUGAAAUAAAUGAAACAAGUGCUCAGGGACUGUUGAGAGGGGAACACGGUAGCAAUGCUUGUGAACAAAUUGGUGGAAUUUACUUUGACCCCCCCAAAGGUCAAAUGUCAAAGAUUAGCACAGGACAUAAAAACUUUAUGGAAUGGCUGAGGAGGAACGGUAUUGUAUGGAAGCCCAUUUCUGCCACACAAGACAAAAAUGCUUUGGUAAAUCGUAAUUAUAAGAUAAAAAGUCAAAAUUACGAGAUACUAAGUCAUAAUUAUAACACAAAAACAAAAUUAUGAUACAAGAGUCAAACGUUUGACAUGAAAGCUGAAAUUAUGACACAAGUCAAAAUUAUGAGAAAUUAUGAGAUAAUUUCCUAAUUAUGAGAUAAGAGGUCGAAAUAAUGAGAUACAUUAAAAAGAUUCAUUAUAUCAAAAACAAAAUUAUGAUAAAAGAGUCAAAAGUUUGACAUAAAAGCUGAAAUUAUGACAUAAGUCAUAAUUAUAAGAUAAAAAGUUGAAAUUGAGGUACUCCUAAUUUGAAAUUGAGAUAAAAAGUCAUGAUUACACAAUAAAAAUAAAAAAAAAUCAGAAUUAUGACAAAAACAAAAUGAUGAUAAAAGAGUCAAAAGCUUGACAAUAAAUCUGAAAUUGACAUAAGUCAUAAUUAUAAGAUAAAAAGUCAAAAUUGAAGUAGUCCUAAUUAUAACAAAAAGUUGAAAUUAUGAGAUAAAAAGUCAUAAUUACGUAAUUAAAUUUAGAAUUAUAACAAAAACACAAUUAUGACAUAAAAGAGUCAAAAUCUUGGCAUAAAAGCCAAAAUUAUGACACGUCAUAAUUAUAAAAUACAAAUUCGAAUUUGAGAUAGUCCCAAUUAUGACAAAAAGUCAAAAUAAUGAGAUAAAAAGUCAUAAUUAUGCAAUUAAAAAAGUCAUGAUUGUAACAUAAAAAGAAGAUUAUGAUAUAAAAUAUGCAAAAGUUUGGCAUAAAAGCCGAAAUUGUGACAAAGUCAUAAAAGUAAAAAUUAUGACAGUCAAAAUUCCGAAAAGUAAUAAUUAUAGUCACAAUUAUGAGAUAAUUGAAAAACUAUAACAUAUGUACAACAUAAAACGUCCUAAUUAUGACAUGUCAAAAUUGACAUUUAUAAUAUAAUUUAUAAAUAUACAAAAUAAAAGUCUCAAAAUUGACAUACCAUGUUAUAUUUAUGAGUUAAAAAGUCAAAUUUAUGACUUUUUUUUUGGUCAUAAUUGAUACAAAGUCAAUUAUUAUAUAGAAAGUCAUGAUUUGGACAUUUUAUCUAAUAUUUAUUACUUGGUAUGUCAUAAUUUCCACGUUUUAUGUCAUAAUUAUGAAUUACCAAAGUAGGAUUUCCAUAGUGUUGCACUUUGGACGUGGAAACGCAGCGAUUAGAGGACAUGCGUAGAGUCUAAAGCUUUAUUGUCGUGAGGAAGACAGUUUGACUUACUGUACUUGAAUCAGAAGGAAUUCAGGUUCAAUAAUUACAUUUAUCUAAUUAUUAUACGUAUGUGAUUUUAUUAUACUUGUGAUUUGUUCUUUGUUAGGUUGGUUUCAAAUAAGAAAUAAUAAUUACCAUUAUUUAAAAAAAAAACAUUUUGUUUAUGACUGCUAACAUUUGAAUGUUAAAUUAGAUAAAUCCAUGGAGCAACAGUUUAAAGUGAGUUUUGGUGUAGAAUAUUAAGAUUCUUUGACAUUUAUGAGGGUCAGUAGGUGUAAUUGAUUCAUUCACUGUUUAAUACUUUUUUAAAAUGCUUGUAAUUCUGCAUAAAGAGGUCUUUUGAAUGGCUACGAUAUGAACAGUGAGGUCUCAUUCAAUGUUUUACACUGGAAAACAAAGUGUCGCUUCUGUUAUAGUGAGUGAAAUCUUAUAUAUUUGCUUUUCGAAUCGAUUUUUACAUGAUCAUAAUGCUUGUUCUGUGUUUCAAUGAAAGGAAUAUAAAAUCUAGUUGGGAAUUUACUGUCAUUGUUUUAAAUUUGCAAGAAACAAUACAGCUUUGUACGAAAUACUCUCAGAUGGCAAGUUUGAAAGUUUGAUUAUGUUCCAACAUUUGCUACAAAUAUGAAUGCAAUCUUCUGAUGUAGGUGUGUGCCUAGAUGUACUGUAUAAAGUGCUGUAUAAAAUAAAAAUCUGCACAUGUGCAAGUCAGCCCUUAGAUAGGAGUUUUAGUAUGUGACUUAGUCGGAAUGCAGUCUUUAUUUACCUGUGAUCUUUGGGAAAAAAAAAAAUAUUGUUCUGCCUUUAAAAGUUGUGCCAAACUGUUUGCCAACCUGUAGUGUGUCCUUUAGGUCUUUGUUCUGUGUAUUUGUGUGUGUUUAACCACAAUUUAUUGAUUAUGAAUUUACUGAAGCAGUCCACAGAGAGGGUAACUAAUAACGGGGUGCCUUAAAUGGUUGAAAUACAAUACAGUUUAAGAGGAAGGAACCCUGCUUGAAAUCAAUUUCAAACAUCAUUGCGGAUUUAUACGUUACAGAUGGACCUCCAACAGAGGACCUCCUAUGUUAUCAAAGUUAGAUGAAACAAUAUUUCAAAAACUAAAUCUGCACCGUCAGGUUUGAUUUUCUUCAGCAACUUGUGAUUUUAUUGUUUUUAAAAACCAAAACUGUCAGUUGAAGCUACAAACACUGUUUAAUUCAUUCAUUUGAGGGUUUUGCUGCUGUAUACAAUCAUUUAUUGCAAUGGUUUACGUCCAUAUUUAUGUUUACGUCACCCUAAUGUCUUUUUGUAAACUAUUAAAGGGUAAAAUAUAUGAAAAACUUCAAAGGACAA